CGGGUGAGUAAUGUCUGGGAAACUGCCUGAUGGAGGGGGAUAACUACUGGAAACGGUAGCUAAUACCGCAUAACGUCGCAAGACCAAAGUGGGGGACCUUCGGGCCUCAUGCCAUAAGAUGUGCCCAGAUGGGAUUAGCUAGUAGGUGGGGUAACGGCUCACCUAGGCGACGAUCCCUAGCUGGUCUGAGAGGAUGGCCAGCCACACUGGAACUGAGACACGGUCCAG
rnacentral:rRNA from 1 species